rnacentral:rRNA from 1 species
AUACGGAGGGUCCAAGCGUUAUUCGGAAUCAUUGGGUUUAAAGGGUCCGUAGGCGGGCAAUUAAGUCAGAGGUGAAAUCCCACAGCUCAACUGUGGAGCUGCCUUUGAUACUGGUUGUCUUGAAUUAUAGUGAAGUAGAUAGAAUAUGUAGUGUAGCGGUGAAAUGCUUAGAUAUUACAUAGAAUACCGAUUGCGAAGGCAGUCUACUAACUGUAUAUUGACGCUGAUGGACGAAAGCGUGGGGAGCGAACAGGAUUAGAAACCCUAGUAGUCC